AUGAACGCUGGCGGCGUGCCUAAUACAUGCAAGUCGAGCGAACAGACGAGGAGCUUGCUCCUCUGACGUUAGCGGCGGACGGGUGAGUAACACGUGGAUAACCUACCUAUAAGACUGGGAUAACUUCGGGAAACCGGAGCUAAUACCGGAUAAUAUAUUGAACCGCAUGGUUCAAUAGUGAAAGACGGUUUUGCUGUCACUUAUAGAUGGAUCCGCGCCGCAUUAGCUAGUUGGUAAGGUAACGGCUUACCAAGGCAACGAUGCGUAGCCGACCUGAGAGGGUGAUCGGCCACACUGGAACUGAGACACGGUCCAGACUCCUACGGGAGGCAGCAGUAGGGAAUCUUCCGCAAUGGGCGAAAGCCUGACGGAGCAACGCCGCGUGAGUGAUGAAGGUCUUCGGAUCGUGAAACUCUGUUAUUAGGGAAGAACAAAUGAGUAAGUAACUAUGCACGUCUUGACGGUACCUAAUCAGAAAGCCACGGCUAACUACGUG
rnacentral:rRNA from 1 species